CCAGAAUCCCUGGGGCAACUCUGGCCUUGGUUAAGAGGCUCCAUAGCUCCUGGCUUAGCUGUGCCCCGGCUCCUCCCCUCAUAUCAUGCCUGAUCCUAGGAAGAUAUUUCACUUCUGGGUGCCUCAGCUUUCUCAUCUAUAAGGGUGGGGUAUGAGAUGGUCAUGGUCAUAGUUUUUGUUUUUUUUUAGGGUGGGGGGACGAGAUGGUCAUAGGGUCACAGUUUUUUUUUUUGUUUUUGUUUUAUACAGACGGGAUCUCGCUAUGUCACCGGGCGCCAUGGCUCAAGCCUGUAAUCCCAGCACUUUGGAAGUCCGAGGCGGGCGGAUCACGAGGCCAGGAGUUCAAGACCAGCCUGGCCAAUAUGGUGAAACCCCGUCUCUACUAAAAAUACAAAAAUUAGCCGGGUGUAGUGGCGGGUGCCUGUAAUCUUAGCUACUCGGGAGGCUGAGGCAGAGGUUGCAGUGAGCCCAGAUCGUGCCACUGGACUCCAGCCUGGGCGACAGAGUGAGACUCUGGAUAAAAAAAAAAUUAAUGAAAGGAAAAAGGCAAGGAGGAAUCCCAACGAUGACAGGUUGAAAGCUGCAGAGGAGACUGAUGGGGAGUGACCUGUGAGGUAGCAGGACCAGGUGAACUGGAAUCCCCAGGUCCAGAUAAGUGAGGGUUUCCAGGAGGAGGAGUGGUCGACUCAGCUGCUGCUGAGAAGCUCAGCGAGACCAAGAAGUGACCCCCGGAUUGGGCAGCGGAGAGGUUGUAGGUUACCUUAGCAGCAGUUAAGGGGUGGGGACACAGCCCUGCUGGAUGGGGUGAUGAGAGGCUGGGACGGGAAGGGGUGGAGGAGGUGAGUGUAGGGAAGUCUACAGAAAUGUCUGAAGGGAGGGAGAAAUGGCCAGAGGCAGGAGAGGGUUUGGGGGCAGGAGUCGGUCCAGAGUGAGGCUGAUGGCACAGAAAAGCCUCGAGGGGAGGGCAGCGGGAUGGGGUCCUAGGCCUGAGGAGGACGUGAGUACCCGACAGGGAAGUUUGUCUGUUUGGGUACUGGGAGAGGAGAAAGAUCCUGAAGGCUUUCGUUUUUCUCUGAAGAAUGAGGUUGAUCCUUCUAGUCUCGUGGCAGAACUUUGUAGACACCAAGCGAGCGGGGCAGCGUGUUCUGGACCUCAUUCCUCACACAGGGCUCACCUCCGGAUGAGUCAGAGGCCUUAGCCGGUGGCCCAGCCCCGGGAAUGCCACCCCGGUUCUGUACCCUGCCCAGGCCAGCUGACAGGGUGUAUUGGGGCACACACCUGCAGCAUCCAGGGCACUCCAAGGAGAGGGACGUACUUUUGAGGAGAGUCUAAAAGUCUAAGUCCCCCACCUGAACUUGGUGGGGGAAGGGCUUCUAUACCAGGAGGGCUCCCAGCCCUGUUUCUUAAAGGCCAUUUAGGCAGAAGUGAACGUGGUCUCUUCAAUAAAGUUAAUAAUGGUUCAUGCUGCAGAAAAUGUUCAAGACAAAACCCUGCUUAUUUACUCAGGCUUUAAAACCAUAAAACUCCCAAAUUCUCCCUGUAGCUAUUUAUAUCCAGAGCUAGUCCCCAAAUUAAGCUCAGGUUUGAAGUAACUUAAAAGAAAAAUAGCCUUCCCUGCUUUAAAAAGAUUUUCCGUAUAGACCUCCACUGGUCUAAUUACGAAGGGCGCGUAGUUUCAGGGUUGGCUGGGGGUAGGGCACCGGGACCUCCAAGGCAGUUACACUCCUCAGCCUCCUAACAGCUGUACGGCUGCCCGGUGGUCCCUCUCCAAGGCAGCGGCUCUCAGGCUAGCCUCAGCCUACCCCACCCGCCCGCACCCCGUGUUCUCCCUCGUGGGGGUGCCGGGGGGAGUAGGGAGGCGGGGCGGGCGGCAGGUCCGGAAAAGUGGCUGCCCUCGCCCCGAAAGAAGUUGACCCUCCUCCCGUGCCGAGAGCUUGGGAUGAAAAUAGCUUCUUCCUCUUUACCCUUCCUGGACCCCCGCCCCAGGACGACUGGGCCCCUUCAUUCAUCUUUCAGCGGCCACCCAGGCGGCUUGGGCGUCCCCACGCCGGGACUCUGUGCCCCGGGGACCCACGGGGACCCUCCCUUGGGCCUCUGAAGCCGCGGCGCACCCCGCACCCAAGCCACCCCGGGGGCCCCGGCCUCCCCCACCCAAUUAGCGGGCAGCACCGCAGACCCGAGUCCCCACGCAGCUCGCGCCAGGGGAGGCGGCCGCCUGGGAAGCCCGUCCCCCGCGCCGCGGCCCCCGCCCCCGCCAGCCCCGCGUCCCCUGGGAAAGGCGGGGGCGCAGCGAGUUUCCCCCAAUUAGUUUCCUCUUUGUAUGGAGUCUUAGCGCGCCCGUACUCCUCCGCGCAGCGGAAAGUAGUCCCGGCCGGGCGCUCCGCGGCUUCCCAGCGCCAGACACAUUUUACUUUGAGAAGUCGACGGGACUCUCAGCGGGGUCCUUCAGAUGGGGGGCCAGAGGCUGCGGGAGGCGUGCGCGGGCAGCAAGGGCAGGGGCCG
rnacentral:lncRNA from 1 species